GAGCUUACAAUUGAUCUGACAGUUACACUGAGCUUCACUCCAGAAUAGAAUCCCUGUUUCCUGCCCCGGGGAGAAUAUUUCCUGCACAUUUCUGUCUCCUUAUGCAAGUUUCUCCCACAUCCAUGGAAAAAACGGUUCUCUCUAGGUGUUCAUCCUCCUCUUCAGCUCUGCAAGGAUACAUAGAGAAUGCUCAGAAGCACAGCCCCCUGCAUGGCUAAAUCAGUGCCUGACCAGCGGCUACAUUAGUGGGCUCUACAUGUAACGGGGUUCUCUCUAGAUGUUCAUCCUCCUCUUCAGCUCUGCAAGGAUACAUAGAGAAUGCUCAGAAGCACAGCCCCCUGCAUGGCUAAAUCAGUGCCUGACCAGCGGCUACAUUAGUGGGCUCUACAUGUAACGGGGUUAGACAGAGACUUGCCCCCUAACAAUGAGGCUGCUAAU